UCACGGCUUUGACUCCUGCCCUCAUGCAGCUGGGAUGGCCACUGGCAACCUCAGUGCUUGGACCGAGCUGGAGCUGCAGUUCCAGGAAUGUGGCCUGACCCAGUCCCCUGUGAUGGAGCUGGGAUUGCUCCAACUCCUCAGUGGAGCUUCACUGACUUGCAGUGACCAGUGCCUGGCCAUCUCCUUCCUGCCUUUGAUUUUGGUUUGUUCACAGACCAUGGUGGAACCAAGGAGGGACGUCAACCUCAAGAUACACUUGGCAAGCUGACAUGGCCAGAGCUACUGGAAAAACACCAGCACAGACAGCCAUUUCCCCAUGAUCCCCAGAUAUUUACAACCUUCCAGUUCUACUGAGCAGGUUGCUUUGCAAUUGACAACAGAAAGAAAGGUGGCUUCAAGACAGAGAGAUUCCUACGCACCAGAGAUUAUUCCACAGACCAGAGGCACCUCUCCAUUUAAUGCAGCCCAACAGAAGUGGAUACCAAGGAAGCCAAGCCUAGCACAGACAGAGCAAAAGAGAGAGGCCAUGGUCUUCAGGCUGACAAGGGCUGCAGAAGCUUGCAAUCAUCUCAAAACCUGAGACUGCUAUCAGGAGCUGAGGGCAAAGGAAAUAAAUCAUCUGAUAUCCUGUCAGCAAACUGCCAUCAGUGCUUUGAGACUGGAGGCGUUUCUCCUACCCCAGAAGAGCAUUGAAAAAAAAAAGUCUAGCUGAUAACUUGGACAGGGUUCAGGUAUGUUUGUGUGCAUACCAGCAGUUAAACUGAUUUCUUCCACUAUCUUAUCUGUCCAUUUCUGGCUUUGAAGGGGAAGAAGUUUGGCAGGCGAGUUGCUCUUGGAAUGCACUCAGUAAACCAUGGACAGGAGAACCAAGGAGCAUAAAUAGAAGUAGCCAUAGGUGUAGCAGCUGGGAGCCUGACUUCUGGCUUCUAUUCCGAGCUCUACUCAUGACUCACUUGACAACCUUGGAAAGCCACUUCACCUCUCCCUGCUCCAGCAUUCUCACAGGCACAGCUCACCCAUUUCACAGGUACCCCAGGCAGAGGAACCCCACUGCUUCCAGCUGGGUAAGCAAUUCUGGAGGAAGGACCUCAUCCCUCUUCCUCUGUUAGCCCCAGGCCAUUCAGCCCCACAGGUCAGGGCACCUGGAGGGGAACUGGCAACUUGAACCAAGUGCAUCUCGUGAAGCUUUUUGGGAUCCAUCAAGGAAAGGAAAAGCACUUUAACAAGAUGUUGCUAAUUAUAGCUUGACAGCACAUAACACAUUCCUGCUCUGGACAGAGCUCUGCUAUCAGCCAACUCAAUUAUACAUUAUCUUUGCCCAAUUCCCUCCUUAUUAAUUGUGACCAAAGCACUGAAUAAAGCCAAAUUUCUGCUUGCUCU
rnacentral:lncRNA from 7 species